rnacentral:rRNA from 1 species
UCGUGGAUUGAUUUGUCAGGUUGAUUCCGGUAACGGACGAGACCCCAACCUACUAACUAGCUCUGGUUGCUUGUGCAGCCAGCCAGCUUCUUAGAGGGACUCUCGGAAUGAAACCGAAGGAGGUGGGGCAAUAACA